rnacentral:rRNA from 1 species
GAUGAACGCUGGCGGCGUGCCUAAUACAUGCAAGUCGAACGCUGAAGUCGGAGCUUGCUCUUCUGGUUGAGUUGCGAACGGGUGAGUAACGCGUAGGUAACCUGCCUGGUAGCGGGGGCUAACUAUUGGAAACGAUAGCUAAUACCGCAUGACAACAGUUAUUGCAUGAUAUCUGUUUAAAAGGGGCAACUGCUCCACUACCAGAUGGACCUGCGUUGUAUUAGCUAGUUGGUGUGGUAACGGCUCACCAAGGAGAAGAUACAUAGCCCACCUGAGAGGGGGAAUCGCCACACUUGGAACGAGACAAGGGCCAGACUCCUUCGGGGAGCAGCAGGAGGGGAUCUUCGGCAAUUGACGGAAGGCCUACCGGGCAACGCCGCGUGAGGGGAGAAGGUUUUCGGAUCGUAAAGCUCUGGUGUUUAGGGAGAACGAGGGUGGGAGGGGAAAGUUCGCACUGUGACGGUAUCUUACCAGAAAGGGACGGCUAACUACGUG